GACGAACGCUGGCGGCGUGCUUAACACAUGCAAGUCGAACGGAAAGGCCCUGCUUUUGUGGGGUGCUCGAGUGGCGAACGGGUGAGUAACAUGUGAGUAACCUGCCCUUGACUUUGGGAUAACUUCAGGAAACUGGGGCUAAUACCGGAUAGGAGCUCCUGCUGCAUGGUGGGGGUUGGAAAGUUUCGGCGGUUGGGGAUGGACUCGCGGCUUAUCAGCUUGUUGGUGGGGUAGUGGCUUACCAAGGCUUUGACGGGUAGCCGGCCUGAGAGGGUGACCGGCCACAUUGGGACUGAGAUACGGCCCAGACUCCUACGGGAGGCAGCAGUGGGGAAUAUUGCACAAUGGGCGGAAGCCUGAUGCAGCAACGCCGCGUGCGGGAUGAAGGCCUUCGGGUUGUAAACCGCUUUCGCCUGUGACGAAGCGUGAGUGACGGUAAUGGGUAAAGAAGCACCGGCUAACUACGUG
rnacentral:rRNA from 1 species